CUGGGCGGUGGGCGAGCCCUUCAUGCCCAUCUUCUUCUCGGGGACGGCGGCGCUGAGCCCCUCCGCGUCGCCCGGG
rnacentral:tRNA from 1 species